UGGGGAAUAUUGGACAAUGGGCGCAAGCCUGAUCCAGCCAUGCCGCGUGAGUGAUGAAGGCCUUAGGGUUGUAAUGCUCUUUUUGGCGGGGACGAUAAUGACGGUACCCGCAGAAUAAGCCCCGGCUAACUUCGUGCCAGCAGCCGCGGUAAUACGAAGGGGGCUAGCGUUGUUCGGAAUUACUGGGCGUAAAGCGCACGUAGGCGGAUCAGCAAGUCAGGGGUGAAAUCCCGGGGCUCAACCUCGGAACUGCCUCUGAUACUGCUGGUCUGGAGUCCGAGAGAGGUGAGUGGAAUUCCUAGUGUAGAGGUGAAAUUCGUAGAUAUUAGGAAGAACACCGGUGGCGAAGGCGGCUCACUGGCUCGAUACUGACACUGAGGUGCGAAAGCGUGGGGAGCAAACAGGAUUAGAUACCCACGUAGUCCCUGAGCGGGCUGGCAAGGCGCAU
rnacentral:rRNA from 1 species